AAAAUCCAAACAUGUGUAUUAUUGACACCUGAAAAUAAAUGUAGUGUCUUGAUGGAGAUGACAUAAAUUAUGAAUCGAUAGAAUUAUUUGUGUAAAGGGUGUUCCUAUGAUGGCCAAUUAAAGAGCAUAUAUUAUUUAAGUUGGAAGAUGGUAAUAAUGAGAGAUCUCUUAAUGAAUCAAUUCAUUCUUCUCUGAUGGGAAUGAAAACACACCAAACUUGUAAGUGGGUGGAUUCAGUUCGUGGAAUAAUGAAGGCCCUGCAAUCAACAACUAGCAGAUGAUGAAAAGAGUAAUAAUGAGGCUGCCAUUUCAAGCAUUAAAGGUAAAUUCAUCAUUAUAGAUUUUGGCUGUGUAAGUUUAUCUCAUAUACAUCACAUGCAUAUCAGGUGAAGUUGAAGUAUUAUAUGAUUGCAUUAAGAAACUUAACGUACAGAGG
rnacentral:lncRNA from 1 species